rnacentral:rRNA from 1 species
UAAGGAAUAUUGGGCAAUGGACGGAAGUCUGACCCAGCCAUCCCGCGUGCAGGAAGAAUGCCCUAUGGGUUGUAAACUGCUUUUGUUUGGGAAGAAAUGUACUUUUUUAAGAGUAUUUGACGGUACCAGACGAAUAAGCACCGGCUAACUCCGUGCCAGCAGCCGCGGUAAUACGGAGGGUGCAAGCGUUAUCCGGAAUCACUGGGUUUAAAGGGUGCGUAGGCGGCCAGAUAAGUCAGAGGUGAAAGUUUCCGGCUCAACCGGGAGAUUGCCUUUGAUACUGUUUGGCUUGAAUCAGAUUGAGGUUGGCGGAAUGUGACAUGUAGCGGUGAAAUGCAUAGAUAUGUCAUAGAACAUCGAUUGCGAAGGCAGCUGGCUGGAUCUGUAUUGACGCUGAGGC